rnacentral:rRNA from 1 species
AUGAACGCUGGCGGCGUGCCUAAUACCUGCAAGUCGAGCGAACAGAUAAGGAGCUUGCUCCUUUGACGUUAGCGGCGGACGGGUGAGUAACACGUGGGUAACCUACCUAUAAAACUGGGAUAACUUCGGGAAACCGGAGCUAAUACCGGAUAACAUUUGGAACCGCAUGGUUCUAAAGUGAAAGAUGGUUUUGCUAUCACUUAUAGAUGGACCCGCGCCGUAUUAGCUAGUUGGUAAGGUAACGGCUUACCAAGGCGACGAUACGUAGCCGACCUGAGAGGGUGAUCGGCCACACUGGAACUGAGACACGGUCCAGACUCCUACGGGAGGCAGCAGUAGGGAAUCUUCCGCAAUGGGCGAAAGCCUGACGGAGCAACGCCGCGUGAGUGAUGAAGGGUUUCGGCUCGUAAAACUCUGUUAUUAGGGAAGAACAAAUGUGUAAGUAACUGUGCACGUCUUGACGGUACCUAAUCAGAAAGCCACGGCUAACUACGUG